AAAUCUUGACAUCCUCUGACCCCUCUAGAGAUAGAGUUUUCCCCUUCGGGGGACAGAGUGACAGGUGGUGCAUGGUUGUCGUCAGCUCGUGUCGUGAGAUGUUGGGUUAAGUCCCGCAACGAGCGCAACCCUUAAGCUUAGUUGCCAUCAUUAAGUUGGGCACUCUAAGUUGACUGCCGGUGACAAACCGGAGGAAGGUGGGGAUGACGUCAAAUCAUCAUGCCCCUUAUGAUUUGGGCUACACACGUGCUACAAUGGACAAUACAAAGGGCAGCGAAACCGCGAGGUCAAGCAAAUCCCAUAAAGUUGUUCUCAGUUCGGAUUGUAGUCUGCAACUCGACUAUAUGAAGCUGGAAUCGCUAGUAAUCGUAGAUCAGCAUGCUACGGUGAAUACGUUCCCGGGUCUUGUACACACCGCCCGUCACACCACGAGAGUUUGUAACACCCGAAGCCGGUGGAGUAACCAUUUGGAGCUAGCCGUCGAAGGUGGGACAAAUGAUUGGGGUGAAGUCGUAACAAGGUAGGCGUAGCGAG
rnacentral:rRNA from 1 species